UUAAUUGAACAUGUUCAUCCUGGAGAGAUAAUUCAAAUUAUAUUUACUUUACCAAUACUAAGAAGUGCUGGGUAAAGAAGCAGAGCAAACAGUAGCAGGUCUGAGAACUGCCAAGGAUACCAGUGAGCCCUGAAUGAAAUCGGUCUAUUUGACACUCUUGGCUACAUCCCUCAAAAGACAGACACAAUCUGUGAUCACUUACAAGACACCGCAGAUUUCAAGAGCACAGCAAUACUGGCAGAAAAUAGAGAAGAGAAAAUGGCCACAGCACAAGGGUGUUCUUACUCUGUCUUGAACUCAUUCUGCGGUUCCAAGAUCUUGCAGAUUAAUAACAGAAGACACAGCAGUAGAUUCAAUUUUCUGUCAAAUGAGCUGACACCUUGUCGGGAAUAAAGUUGCCGAAAUACCAAUGGACCAGAAGAG